rnacentral:tmRNA from 1 species
GGGGGUGACUGGAAUCGACAGGAUAGUUAAGGUUUAAUUUGCAAUUCGAAGGUGAUAGAAAGGCUUCGUAAAAAAUCUAUCCAGCAUAAUUGCUGAAGAUGAUUAUUUAAUGGCUGCUUAGUUCAUGCCAUCAUCUAGUAUGAGUUUGGUUUAUGCUCAUGCAACGGGUGCCACUUUAUAAUCCUAUAUUUCAUGUGAGGUUUCGUAACAUGAAACGAAAAAUACGAUAAUAAGUUCUAUUUGGUUUGUCUCUGGUCGCAAUAGAAUCGAAAACUUAAUCAAAGACUAUAAUUGUAGACGAUUUUACUAGACCUAGUACUUGGACGGGAGUUCGAAUCUCCCCACCUCCACCA